rnacentral:rRNA from 1 species
CCUACGGGGGACUGCAGUGGGGAAUCUUCCGCAAUGGACGAAAGUCUGACGGAGCAACGCCGCGUGAGCGAAGAAGGCCUUCGGGUCGUAAAGCUCUGUUGUCAGGGAAGAACAAGUACCGGAGUAACUGCCGGUACCUUGACGGUACCUGACGAGAAAGCCACGGCUAACUACGUGCCAGCGGCCGGGGUAAUACGUAGGUGGCAAGGGUUGUCCGGGAGUAUUGGGCGUAAAGCGCGCGCAGGCGGUCCUUUAUGUAUGAUGGGAAAUCUUGGGGCACAACCGCAAGCGGCCAUUGGAAACUGGGGGACCUGAGUGCAGGAGAGGGAAGUGGAGUUCCACGUGAAGCGGUGAAAUGUGUAGGGAUGUGGAGGAACACCAGUGGCGAGGGGGGCUUCCUGGCCUGUAACUGACGGUGAGGCGCGAAAGGGUGGGGAGCAAACAGGAUUAGAUACGGGAGUAGUC